rnacentral:rRNA from 1 species
GUAGGGAGCGAGCGUUAUCCGGAUUUAUUGGGUGUAAAGGGUGCGUAGAUGGAUAAUCAAGUUGGUUGUGAAAUCCCUCGGCUUAACUGAGGAACUGCAACCAAAACUGAUAAUCUUGAGUGCUGGAGGGGAAAGUGGAAUUCCUAGUGUAGCGGUGAAAUGCGUAGAUAUUAGGAAGAACACCGGUGGCGAAGGCGACUUUCUGGACAGUAACUGACAUUGAGGCACGAAAGUGUGGGGAGCAAACAGGAUUAGAUACCCUGGUAGUCCACACCGUAAACGAUGGAUACUAGGUGUAGGUGGUGAUAAGCCAUCUGUGCCGUCGCAAACGCAAUAAGUAUCCCACUUGGGGAGUACGGCCGCAAGGUUG